ACCCGAACGAAGUUAGCACGGGUUAGUUAAUUAUAAAUUCUUGCGAAGUCUAUACAUUAUUAGAUACCUGUUCUACCUAUUAUUUUAUCUCUCUUACUUGCGCUCAACGUUUAAAUUUAACUCUAGAGAAGUUAGACUUUGACUUAUCGAUUGAAACUUCGUUAGGAGAAACCUUCAUUUCAUGUGCUAUCCAAGUCUUGGAUGAGAGUCACAAUUUUUAAAUGAUAUUUCUAUCGUUAAUAAAUUUCCUGACGUAUUCUUGAA
rnacentral:lncRNA from 1 species